rnacentral:rRNA from 1 species
GACGAACCGUGCGAACGUUGUUCGGAAUCACUGGGCUUAAAGGGCGCGUAGGCGGGCCAUAAAGUCAGGGGUGAAAUCCUCCAGCUUAACUGGAGAACUGCCUUUGAUACUGAGGAGCUUGAGUCCGGGAGAGGUGAGUGGAACUGCGAGUGUAGAGGUGAAAUUCGUAGAUAUUCGCAAGAACACCAGUGGCGAAGGCGGCUCACUGGCCCGGUACUGACGCUGAGGUGCGAAAGCGUGGGGAGCAAACAGG